UUGGCAGCUUGCUGCCGGGGUGAGAGUGGCGAACGGGUGAGUAAUGCGUGACCGACCUGCCCCAUGCACCGGAAUAGCUCCUGGAAACGGGUGGUAAUGCCGGAUGUUCCACAUGAGCGCAUGCGAGUGUGGGAAAGGCUUUUUGCGGCAUGGGAUGGGGUCGCGUCCUAUCAGCUUGUUGGUGGGGUAACGGCCUACCAAGGCGUUGACGGGUAGCCGGCCUGAGAGGGCGACCGGCCACAUUGGGACUGAGAUACGGCCCAGACUCCUACGGGAGGCAGCAGUGGGGAAUAUUGCACAAUGGGCGCAAGCCUGAUGCAGCGACGCCGCGUGCGGGAUGGAGGCCUUCGGGUUGUAAACCGCUUUUGUUCAAGGGCAAGGCACGGUUUCGGCCGUGUUGAGUGGAUUGUUCGAAUAAGCACCGGCUAACUACGUGCCAGCAGCCGCGGUAAUACGUAGGGUGCAAGCGUUAUCCGGAUUUAUUGGGCGUAAAGGGCUCGUAGGCGGUUCGUCGCGUCCGGUGUGAAAGUCCAUCGCUUAACGGUGGAUCCGCGCCGGGUACGGGCGGGCUUGAGUGCGGUAGGGGAGACUGGAAUUCCCGGUGUAACGGUGGAAUGUGUAGAUAUCGGGAAGAACACCAAUGGCGAAGGCAGGUCUCUGGGCCGUUACUGACGCU
rnacentral:rRNA from 1 species